rnacentral:misc_RNA from 1 species
GAUGAAGAACGUAGUGAAAUGCGAUACUUGGUGUGAAUUGCAGAAUCCCGUGAACCAUCGAGUCUUUGAACGCAAGUUGCGCCCGAAGCCAUUAGGCCGAGGGCACGCCUGCCUGGGUGUCACACGUCGUUGCCCCCCCAUCUACUCCUUCGGGAUUGCGGGGGGCGGAUGAUGGCCUCCCGUGCGCCUCGUCGCGCGGUUGGCAUAAAUGCCAAGUCCUCGGCGACGCACGCCACGACAAUCGGUGGUUGCGAAACCUCGGUUGCCCGUCGUGUGCGGUCGUCGCGCAUCGAGGGCUCGAAAAAAUUGCCGGGCUCCGGCUCGGCUUUCAACGCGACCCCAGGUCAGGCGGGGUUACUCGCUGAAUUUAAGCAUAUCAUAAGCGGAGGA